rnacentral:lncRNA from 1 species
AGAAGUUGAGCGACUACCGACGGCCUGGUGAUCAGGAUGCUGUUGGGGAAGGUUUCAAUCUGCGGGGUCUGCCCACCUCAGAAGCUGGCCCUGGGUUUGCAUGAGCCCCAUGCCUCUUCCAGCUCAGAAGGCAGAUUCUCUGACCCACCCGCCCCGGAGGGCGCCUGCUGCUGUGGCAGGUGUGCAGGCAGCGUGUCUGCUGGGCUGGGGGCAGCAGGAGAAGCCCGCGGUCCAGGCGCAGGAAGGAAGCCUGCAGCACCCGGGCACGUCAGGGAGGCGGGCUCCCUCUCAGGGUCCUCGGCUCCCCUGCAGGGGACAGUGCUCACAUGUGGAGGCAUGGCCCUCCCUUCAGGGCAGAGCAUGUGCAGGGGGCUCAGCCACCUCACUCCUACCCGCUGGCCAUGUGCCGUCCUGUGGGGGCCGCACCCUCUGGGGUUGUGGUGAGGGCCAUGGGGACCCUGAGCCAAGCAGGAGAUGAAUUGGGACGGGGACUCCUGACGCAAGGUCUCAACCCCGUGUCCUGGAGAGUGACCAUCCCCCACAAGUUUUGGAAACGAGAGAUUCCGGUGUCCCUGGAAAGAGCGGGUCCUCCUCCAGCUCCCAAGAACCAUCUGGGCAUUUCUGAGGAUCUGCUGGCUCACGGCUGUUGGAAGGUCCGCAUUGAAGUUGGCCAUGGCCCCCCGCCGGGUGGAUUGCAUGGUUGCAUGGUAAUCAGCAACUGAUAAGGGAGUCAAGAACUGUGAAGAUCUAAUCCAGUGUGAGGCCUUCUGGGUGGGACCGAAGUGUGCUGGGGGCCCAGGCCUGCGUCAGGACACCCCACCCCUCUCUGCAUGGGGCUGGUGUCCUUCUCUCCCCCAGGGGUCCCCAGGGCCCUGGAUGGGAGAUGGAAUCGAUACCUGUUCUGGUCCCAGUACAUUCCAGAUGAACCUAGAGCCAAAUGUUAGAAGUGUUAAAAAUUACAGCUGUAAGAAAUUACAACGUGCAUAGCAGUGUGCAUUGCUUUAAGCCCCAGUGCGAAUCCACAUGAGAAAUGAUCACUGCUUACUCCAUGAAAGUGAAAACUUUAGUAUACCUGGUAUAAUAUAAACAAAAGCAGAUGGAGAAGCUGGAAGAUAAGCCUGCAGUGAGUGUGCUGAGGGCAUGCUCCUCGGCGUACCUGGAGGCACAGGUGCACAUAUUCCCGCUCAGGUGGAAGAACAGACAACCAGAUGCACCGGCACAGACAGGAGCCACUUACGAAUGGCCGGAAGACACACCUGGAAAACUGCUCUCGUUCUCUAGUCAUUGAAAAGAGCAAAGAUGGAGCCACAACAAAACACUGUGUUUCUCCUGUCAAAUUAACGAAGUUUUGAAAUUGCUUUAGUCCAACCGGCUGACUGUGAGGACAGCACCUGCUGGGGUGCAGAAGGCAAUUAGACCGCAAUGGGUCCAUGUGAGUCCGUUC